rnacentral:rRNA from 1 species
UACGUAGGGUGCAAGCGUUGUCCGGAAUUAUUGGGCGUAAAGAGCUCGUAGGCGGUUUGUCGCGUCGAAUGUGAAAACCCGGGGCUCAACCCCGGGCCUGCAUUCGAUACGGGCAGACUAGAGUUCGGUAGGGGAGUCUGGAAUUCCUGGUGUAGCGGUGAAAUGCGCAGAUAUCAGGAGGAACACCGGUGGCGAAGGCGGGACUCUGGGCCGAUACUGACGCUGAGACGCGAAAGCGUGGGGAGCAAACAGG